UAGUUUGCUUGCAAACUGAAGAUGGCGACCGGCGCACGGGUGAGUAACACGUAUCCAACCUGCCGAUAACUCCGGGAUAGCCUUUCGAAAGAAAGAUUAAUACCGGAUGGCAUACGAAUAUCGCAUGAUAUUUUUAUUAAAGAAUUUCGGUUAUCGAUGGGGAUGCGUUCCAUUAGUUUGUUGGCGGGGUAACGGCCCACCAAGACUACGAUGGAUAGGGGUUCUGAGAGGAAGGUCCCCCACAUUGGAACUGAGACACGGUCCAAACUCCUACGGGAGGCAGCAGUGAGGAAUAUUGGUCAAUGGGCGAGAGCCUGAACCAGCCAAGUAGCGUGAAGGAUGAAGGCUCUAUGGGUCGUAAACUUCUUUUAUAUGGGAAUAAAGUUUUCCACGUGUGGAAUUUUGUAUGUACCAUAUGAAUAAGGAUCGGCUAACUCCGUGCCAGCAGCCGCGGUAAUACGGAGGAUCCGAGCGUUAUCCGGAUUUAUUGGGUUUAAAGGGAGCGUAGGUGGAUUGUUAAGUCAGUUGUGAAAGUUUGCGGCUCAACCGUAAAAUUGCAGUUGAAACUGGCAGUCUUGAGUACAGUAGAGGUGGGCGGAAUUCGUGGUGUAGCGGUGAAAUGCUUAGAUAUCACGAAGAACUCCGAUUGCGAAGGCAGCUCACUAGACUGUUACUGACACUGAU
rnacentral:rRNA from 1 species